rnacentral:rRNA from 1 species
GACGAACGCUGGCGGCGUGCCUAAUACAUGCAAGUCGAGCGCGGGAAGCUUGCGGAGUCCUUCGGGAGGAAGUGAGUGGACCGAGCGGCGGACGGGUGAGUAACACGUGGGCAACCUGCCCGUAAGACGGGGAUAACCCCGGGAAACCGGGGCUAAUACCGGAUAGGUGACCUUUCUGCAUGGAGGGGUCAUGAAAGGCGGCGGAAGCCGUCGCUUACGGAGGGGCCCGCGGCGCAUUAGCUAGUUGGUGAGGGAAGGGCUCACCAAGGCGACGAUGCGUAGCCGGCCUGAGAGGGUGAACGGCCACACUGGGACUGAGACACGGCCCAGACUCCUACGGGAGGCAGCAGUAGGGAAUCUUCCGCAAUGGACGGAAGUCUGACGGAGCAACGCCGCGUGAGUGAGGAAGGCCUUCGGGUCGUAAAGCUCUGUUGUUCGUGAAGAAGGGGUUGGCCAGGAAAUGGGCCGACAUUGACGGUAGCGAACCAGAAAGCCCCGGCUAACUACGUGCCAGCAGCCGCGGUAACACGUAGGGGGCAAGCGUUGUCCGGAAUGAUUGGGCGUAAAGGGCGCGCAGGCGGCCUCUUAAGUCUGAUGUGAAAGCCCACGGCUCAACCGUGGAGGGACAUUGGAAACUGGGGGGCUUGAGUGCAGGAGAGGGGAGUGGAAUUCCACGUGUAGCGGUGAAAUGCGUAGAGAUGUGGAGGAACACCAGUGGCGAAGGCGGCUCUCUGGCCUGUGACUGACGCUGAGGCGCGAAAGCGUGGGGAGCGAACAGGAUUAGAUACCCUGGUAGUCCACGCCGUAAACGAUG